UAAAUUUUAAAAUUAUAAUACUAAAAUAGUAAAUAAUUAUUUAUUAAAACUUAAAUAAUUUGGCGGUAUUUUAGUUCAUUUAGAGGAAUCUGUUUAAUAAUUGAUAUUCCACGAAUAAAUUUACUUAAUUUUUAAUUUUGUAUAUCGUUGUUAUAAAAAUAUUUUUUAAUAAAAUUAAUAUUUAAAAAUUAUUAUAAAAAUUUAAAUCAGAUCAAGAUGCAGAUUAUAAUUAAGAAUAUAAUGGAUUACAAUAAAAUUAUUUAAAUGAAUAUUAAUUUGUAAGAUUUAAUUGAAAGUGGAUUUAAAUGUAAUUUUAUUUAAUUUAAUAAAAUGAUUAAAAAUUAAAAUAUGU
rnacentral:rRNA from 1 species